AGUAGUGUGUCCCUGCUGACACCACUGGAUGAGCAAUGAUUUUGUGGAAUCCAUUCCUGGGAAAUUUUUCUCUAACGUCCUCCAACAGGAAGGAACAAAGCUACUGGACACAAAAAACCCCAUGAGCCAUCCAAUACCAUGCAGCAAAUGCUGAAGGAAAUGCUGCAGGGAGCACAAGCUAAGCCCCUUGGUGAAGGUGAUCUAGCUUCCCUACUCACAUCCAGGACUGAGCCUCACGGAGAUGGCGAGGGUGUGUCUGCAGGGAGGAUUUUCCCAGACACUUUUCAGGAUGCUGCACACAAGCCUAGCUCCCAUCACAGGGGUCCUCCAACAGGAAGGAACAAAGCUACUGGAUACAAGAAACCUCGUGAACCAUCUAAUACCAUGCAGCAAAUGCUGAAGGAAAUGCAGCAGGGAGGACAAGAGAAGGACCAGAAAGCUGUGCUGAAGGCGGUGUUUCCCAGAGAAAACAGUGGCUCAUGGUCAGCGUCUGCUGCAGGAAGGGAGGCCAUGCCAGGCACAGUCUCAGAGGAUUGGGAUCGUGACAUGGAGUACAUGGAAAUGCUGGUCAGUGGUGGUUUGAAGACUUUGCCAGAUACUGGAGGUCCUCCUGCAUGGACGAACCAAGACAUAGAAGACGGGAAAUCCCUGGAGGCAUCCCGACUUCUGGACAAGAUGUUGAGUGAUCUGGAGACACACCGUGAUGAGGGUGCUGAGACAGCUUCUCCAGCAGCUGGGAUGGAAGAUGGCUUGGAACCAUUAGGAGGUUCUGCAGGUGUGUCUGCAGAGAGGACUUUCCCAGCUACUUUCCUGAUUCCUGAACGCAAGCUCGGCUCCCAUCGCAGGGAGAUGGACCAGAAGUCUUUGCAGAAGGCAGAACUUCCUGCAGAAUGCAACAGCUUCAUUCCAGAUGCCUCUACAGAAAGGGAGGAGAUAGCAGACAGUGGCACAGAAGGAAUCGAUAUUAAGGAUUCAGCGCCCAUCUCUGGAAUUGUCCGCCCGCAGGAUGUUCGGAAAACCUGCGUCGUAGACUCAGUUGUGACAGUUAUCACUGUGCAACUUGCAUUUAUAUGCUGUUUUUUUGGGAUCCGGAAAGUCUACAAGAUCAGACGGUAAUUUGUUGAUUUUUUUCCAGAGUUUUCUUAAAACUCUACACACAGCACUGGGAGCCUGACACAUAGGCAUGCUGCUGUGCACUUGUUUGUAGUCAAUGGUAGUCCACAGAAUUCUGCUGAGAGUUCUGCUGCUGCCCAGGCCUUUCAUUGGCCUCUGAAUUGCUGGGCCUUGUCCUGAGGAGCCCACUUGUACUGCAGCCAAUGCUGGCUCCCACAGGGGCUGCCUGGCCAAGAGCAGC
rnacentral:lncRNA from 1 species